AUGAUUUGACAGUGCAUCGGCAAAGCGCGGAUAGCUUAACCACAGUCGGGGGGAUAUGGAAAGGAGGAAAACAGAUGCGCUCAGAGGACUUGUCUGCGUGUGUUUAAUAAUAAUAAAGAAGCGCCUGAAGACAUCGACCAGACGUCUGCAGGGUAAAGCAGAGCUGAUUCCAAGGUGAAGUUGAUUCCAGCUCCCAUCUAGCAGGAGUAACAGAGGGCUCAGCACACCUGCAGACGGCGUUUGCGGAUCUCAAACAGCUUGACGGCCGGCGAUGUUUACCGGCCUUGAAUACGGGACGCGAGAGACGAGAGAGAGUGCGGACACUCUGAUGACCAAGCUGUUCCUCAGGGCUGGCAUAAUCUCCAAGCUGGCGCAGAACUGCAGAACUCCAGAAAUUCUCCGUACCCCCACGCCCCCCAUCCUCUGCCCAAACUACAGCAGCAGUCUUAAUUGUCAUAGAAUCAUUGGAGCCAGCAGCUCUGGUUAGACUCCCAUUCAGUGCCUCACUGUGUGGCUCCAUGGGUUAGGAGUCUGUAACUGGAAGCUCACCAGUUCAAAUCCCAUGGCCAGUGGAGUACUGAUAUCACAGCUGGGCCCUUGAGCGAGGUCCUUAACCUCCACGGUUGCUGGAUAAAUGGCCAACAUUCUCCUCUGACCCCAAGGUUUGCUCUUGCCUGCAUGUAUCUCAUAGGAGAGCUGGAUGGAAAUUGUGAAGAUUAUUAUGUUGUUGUACUUGGUACCUGGACAAUGAUAAUAAAGGCUUUCUAUCUGA